ACAGCAUCUGAUCAGUCCGAUCCAAAGGCGGAAAUAAGUAGCCUGGGGGACUGUGACCCUUGGGAGGCCCCUAUUCUCCCAGGAACAGUUACAAGGGUCCAUUAUGACACCAUCCUUUAACUGCACAAUCAGGUAUUAAUUUUACAUACAUGGGUCAUCGACCGGGCUUGAACCCAGAUUGAAAAGGGGAUGGAAUUUUCAUGGAAAUCGUGGUCAGUGGAAGAUUGAAGACCAGACCCUGGGGUCACCUAGUUCCCAGCCCAGUGCACCUUCCACAAGGCUGCAGGGUACGUCGAGGGUGACCUGUCCUCCCUCUCCACCGAGACAUAGACAAACUACAAGGUACAUGAUGCUUGGCCAGGGCUGACAGUCCCUGGGUUUCCAGGAUUUUGCAAAGCCCUCUGCUUACUUUGACCGCAGUAGACUUCGCCUGGAGAUUAGAGACAGCGUGUGGUGGACACAGGAAGAUGCAAGAUAUUGUCAACUGCCUGUUGCUGGAGCCACCAGCUGAGUUCCUUAUUUGGGGCUUGGUGGAGCCGGACACUGGAGUGUUGGAGGUAGCGCUGAGGGGCCCCUUGCUGCUCCCAUCAUGGCAUCUGCUCUCAUGAUCUUCUUCCUUGGCUGCUGGCUGGCCGGACAGAGCGGGAUGUCCAGAUAGUUCAGAUACCCCAAACCCAACAUCUCCCUGCGCCCCAGUGGAGGGGUUGCCCAGGGAGAAGCCGUGACCAUCCGGUGUGAGUGUCAGUGUC